GGGGUUGUGGCUCAGCGGUAGAGCGCUCACCUUGCAUGUGUGAGGACCUAGGUUUGAUCCUCAGCACCA
rfam:Ictidomys tridecemlineatus contig011499, whole genome shotgun sequence.